CCUACGGGCGGCAGCAGUGAGGAAUAUUGGUCAAUGGACGAGAGUCUGAACCAGCCAAGUAGCGUGAAGGAUGACUGCCCUAUGGGUUGUAAACUUCUUUUAUAUGGGAAUAACAUGUUCCACGUGUGGGAUUUUGUAUGUAACAUAUGAAUAAGGAUCGGCUAACUCCGUGCCAGCAGCCGCGGUAAUACGGAGGAUCCGAGCGUUAUCCGGAUUUAUUGGGUUUAAAGGGAGCGUAGGUGGAUUGUUAAGUCAGUUGUGAAAGUUUGCGGCUCAACCGUAAAAUUGCAGUUGAAACUGGCAGUCUUGAGUACAGUAGAGGUGGGCGGAAUUCGUGGUGUAGCGGUGAAAUGCUUAGAUAUCACGAAGAACUCCGAUUGCGAAGGCAGUUCACUGGACUGCAACUGACACUGAGGCUCGAAAGUGUGGGUAUCAAACAGGAUUAGAUACCCGAGUAGUC
rnacentral:rRNA from 1 species